GAAGAUUAUAUUGGGGACAGUCAAAGAAAAUGUGAUCAAGAGUUUGGAUGGAUAAAUUUCAGAAUUGACAAGCUGGAGAAUCUAAAACAUCGAUCCUACAUAAAUGAGCACCACUACGAGAAUGUCCCAGACGUAACCGACUAAUUGUGGUGUAAAAUUUUCUGUGGACAUUUAAGGAUAGAAGAAUGGACGACAAUUGUUCUAAAUCAACAUUAUUAAAUGCUCCUACAACAUCCAAAAAAACACCAGCCAAUAUCUUAUUGUCAAUCUGGGCACUAUGGAUGUCAAGACAUAAAUGCCGUAGACUCUCACAAGCAGAACGACCGCAUCGAAAUCCAAAUUGAUUAUUAGAUUACUGUGUGGAGGAAUGUUGGAUGGAAUUGAAGAAGAUUCAGUUUCCGACACUACCAUGGAAAAUUUUGUGAUUGUA